GAAGGUGGCCUGUGAGGGUUGCUGGAGGUAUCAGAAGUGCGAAUGCUGACAUAAGUAACGAUAAAGCGGGUGAAAAGCCCGCUCGCCGGAAGACCAAGGGUUCCUGUCCAACGUUAAUCGGGGCAGGGUGAGUCGACCCCUAAGGCGAGGCCGAAAGGCGUAGUCGAUGGGAAACGGGUUAAUAUUCCCGUACUUGGUGUUACUGCGAAGGGGGGACGGAGAAGGCUAUGUUGGCCGGGCGACGGUUGUCCCGGUUUAAGCGUAUAGGUGUGUGUUCCAGGUAAAUCCGGUUCACUUUAACACUGAGGCGUGAUGACGAGGCGCUACGGUGCUGAAGCAACAAAUGCCCUGCUUCCAGGAAAAGCCUCUAAGCAUCAGGUAACAUCAAAUCGUACCCCAAACCGACACAGGUGGUCAGGUAGAGAAUACCAAGGCGCUUGAGAGAACUCGGGUGAAGGAACUAGGCAAAAUGGUGCCGUAACUUCGGGAGAAGGCACGCUGACAUGUAGGUGAAGUGAUUUACUCAUGGAGCUGAAGUCAGUCGAAGAUACCAGCUGGCUGCAACUGUUUAUUAAAAACACAGCACUGUGCAAACACGAAAGUGGACGUAUACGGUGUGACGCCUGCCCGGUGCCGGAAGGUUAAUUGAUGGGGUCAGCGCAAGCGAAGCUCCUGAUCGAAGCCCCGGUAAACGGCGGCCGUAACUAUAACGGUCCUAAGGUAGCGAAAUUCCUUGUCGGGUAAGUUCCGACCUGCACGAAUGGCGUAAUGAUGGCCAGGCUGUCUCCACCCGAGACUCAGUGAAAUUGAACUCGCUGUGAAGAUGCAGUGUACCCGCGGCAAGACGGAAAGACCCCGUGAACCUUUACUAUAGCUUGACACUGAACAUUGAGCCUUGAUGUGUAGGAUAGGUGGGAGGCUUUGAAGUGUGGACGCCAGUCUGCAUGGAGCCGACCUUGAAAUACCACCCUUUAAUGUUUGAUGUUCUAACGUGGACCCGUGAUCCGGGUUGCGGACAGUGUCUGGUGGGUAGUUUGACUGGGGCGGUCUCCUCCUAAAGAGUAACGGAGGAGCACGAAGGUUGGCUAAUCCUGGUCGGACAUCAGGAGGUUAGUGCAAUGGCAUAAGCCAGCUUGACUGCGAGCGUGACGGCGCGAGCAGGUGCGAAAGCAGGUCAUAGUGAUCCGGUGGUUCUGAAUGGAAGGGCCAUCGCUCAACGGAUAAAAGGUACUCCGGGGAUAACAGGCUGAUACCGCCCAAGAGUUCAUAUCGACGGCGGUGUUUGGCACCUCGAUGUCGGCUCAUCACAUCCUGGGGCUGAAGUAGGUCCCAAGGGUAUGGCUGUUCGCCAUUUAAAGUGGUACGCGAGCUGGGUUUAGAACGUCGUGAGACAGUUCGGUCCCUAUCUGCCGUGGGCGCUGGAGAACUGAGGGGGGCUGCUCCUAGUACGAGAGGACCGGAGUGGACGCAUCACUGGUGUUCGGGUUGUCAUGCCAAUGGCACUGCCCGGUAGCUAAAUGCGGAAGAGAUAAGUGCUGAAAGCAUCUAAGCACGAAACUUGCCCCGAGAUGAGUUCUCCCUGAGACUUAGAGUCUCCUGAAGGAACGUUGAAGACGACGACGUUGAUAGGCCGGGUGUGUAAGCGCAGCGAUGCGUUGAGCUAACCGGUACUAAUGAACCGUGAGGCUUAACCUUACAACGCCGAAG
rnacentral:rRNA from 1 species